GACGAACGCUGGCGGCGUGCUUAACACAUGCAAGUCGAACGGAAAGGCCAUGCUUUUGUGGGGUGCUCGAGUGGGGAAAGGGUGAGUAACACGUGAGUAACCUGCCCUUGACUUUGGGAUAACUUCAGGAAACUGGGGCUAAUACCGGAUAGGAGCUCCUGCUGCAUGGUGGGGGUUGGAAAGUUUCGGCGGUUGGGGAUGGACUCGCGGCUUAUCAGCUUGCUGGUGGGGUAGUUGCUUACCAAGGCUUGGACGGGUCGCCGGCUCGAGAGUGUGACCGGCGACAUUGCGACUGAGAUACGGCCCAGACUCCUACGGGAGGCAGCAGGCGGAAAUAUUGCACAAUGGGCGGAAGCCUGAUGCAGCAACGCUGCGUUCGGGAUGACGGCCUUCGGGUUAUAAACCGCUGUCGCCUGUGACGAAGCGUGAGUGACGGUAAUGGGUAAAGAAGCACCGGCUAACUACGUG
rnacentral:rRNA from 1 species